CAUAGAUUGAGGAGGCAGUGACAGUAGAAGAGGAGGAGGAUGAGCUAGCCAACACUGUUUAUAUAUAUAUAUAUAUAUAUAUAUAUAUUUUUUUUUAAUUGAGGUAGCCCCCAAAAUAUUGGGACAUAUAAAAAAAGACCACUCUGUUCCGCAGAGUAUCUCUUGACAUUAUAGUUGCACAGGAACUUUGUUUACUCUAGAGAACCUCGGGCAAAUCGCACAUGCCCGUGGCAUGCGGAUGUCAUCCAUAUCAACUUUCGAUGCCAGUUUCUGUGCCUACCAUGGUGACCACGGGUAAUGGGGAAUCAAGGUUCCAUUCUGUACAGGGACCCUGAGAAACUGCUACCACAUGCAAGGAAGGCAGCAGGCACGCAAAUGACCCACUCCCGACGCGGGAAGGUAGUGACGACAAAUAACAAUACAGGACUCUUUAGAGGCCCUGUAAUUGUAAUGAGUCCACUUGAAAUCCUUUAACUCUGAUCAAUUGGAGGGAAGUCAGGUGCAGAGCCACUGACCCAUGUG
rnacentral:rRNA from 1 species